AGACAGUGGCGUGGCAUCACUCAGCUGUUAAAGCUCCGGCACUUAAAGAUGGGCGUGCGGCUCGAUUAGGUAGUUGGCGGGGUCACGGUCCACCAAGCCGACGAUCAGUAACUGGUGUGAGAGCACGAGCAGUCAGAGCGGGCACUGAGACACGGGCCCGACUCCUACGGGAGGCAGCAGUAAGGAAUCUCGGUCAAUGGACGCAAGUCUGAACCAGCCAUGCCGCGUGGACGAUGAAGGCCCUCUGGGUCGUAAACUU
rnacentral:rRNA from 1 species